UACGGAGGAGGCAAGCGUUAUCCGGAAUUAUUGGGCGUAAAGCGUCCGCAGGUGGCGAUUCAAGUCUGCGGUCAAAGACUGGGGCUUAACCCUGGAAAGGCCGUGGAAACUGAAUAACUAGAGUGCAGUAGGGGUAGAGGGAAUUCCCGGUGUAGCGGUGAAAUGCGUAGAGCUCGGGAAGAACAUCGGUGGCGAAAGCGCUCUGCUGGACUGCAACUGACACUCAGGGACGAAAGCUAGGGGAGCGAAUGGG
rnacentral:rRNA from 1 species